CAGUCGCCGCGGUAAUACGAAGGGUGCAAGCGUUAAUCGGAAUUAUUGGGCGUAAAGCGUGCGUAGGCGGUUUGUUAAGUCUGCUGUGAAAUCCCCGGGCUCAACCUGGGAAUGGCAGUGGAUACUGGCAAGCUAGAGCGUGUCAGAGGAUGGUGGAAUUCCCGGUGUAGCGGUGAAAUGCGUAGAGAUCGGGAGGAACAUCAGUGGCGAAGGCGGCCAUCUGGGACAACACUGACGCUGAGGCACGAAAGCGUGGGGAGCAAACAGGAUUAGAUACCCCGGUAGUCCCUGUCUCUUAUAC
rnacentral:rRNA from 1 species